rnacentral:rRNA from 1 species
AGUGGCGGACGGGUGAGUAACGCGUGAGAAUCUGCCUUGGGGUCGGGGACAACCACUGGAAACGGUGGCUAAUACCGGAUAAGCCGAUUGGUGAAAGAUUUAUUGCCCGAAGAGGAGCUCGCGUCUGAUUAGCUAGUUGGUGAGGUAAGAGCUCACCAAGGCAGCGAUCAGUAGCUGGUCUGAGAGGACGAUCAGCCACACUGGGACUGAGACACGGCCCAGACUCCUACGGGAGGCAGCAGUGGGGAAUUUUCCGCAAUGGGCGAAAGCCUGACGGAGCAAGACCGCGUGAGGGAGGAAGGCUCUUGGGUUGUAAACCUCUUUUCUCAGGGAAGAAGCUCUGACGGUACCUGAGGAAUCAGCCUCGGCUAACUCCGUGCCAGCAGCCGCGGUAAUACGGAGGAGGCAAGCGUUAUCCGGAAUUAUUGGGCGUAAAGCGUCCGCAGGUGGCGAUUCAAGUCUGCUGUCAAAGCACGGGGCUUAACUCCGUAAAGGCAGUGGAAACUGAAUAGCUAGAGUGCCGUAGGGGUAGAGGGAAUUCCCGGUGUAGCGGUGAAAUGCGUAGAGAUCGGGAAGAACAUCGGUGGCGAAAGCGCUCUACUGGACGGCAACUGACACUCAGGGACGAAAGCUAGGGGAGCGAANGGGAUUAGAUACCCC